UGGCAGGGAGCCCCAGUGUAGACAGAUACCCAAACUGAGGACUGCCACUAUCAGGCCACCCACCCCAGCGCUGCCUGGAAGCAGAUGAGCCCCGAUAUAACUGGCAGAGACAUGCUUUCGGGACAGGAUGGGGACACGGAGCCAGCACCAGCUCUCCCUCCUGCCUGCAACAGAGAUACGGAAGUGGGAGCUGGGCAGAGGCAAUCAGACUGCCUGGCUCGGCAGGACAGCCCCGAGGGUGGAGCUGGCUGACAGAGGCACCUGGAGACCAAGAGGCUAAAACCCAUCUUCAGGAAGCCGGCUCCACUGGCCGCCCGCUGGGCGAACUCACCGCAGAGGGAUCUUGACGCGGAGAUAGCGGUCCACGGCGAUGGCCAGUAGGGCCAGGAUGGAGCUCUGCGUGAGGAUCAGGACGGGGCAGGCCACCAUGAGGCAAGUGUGGAAGUAGGUCUGCGGCCCGACGUUGAUGAGGAUGGCCAGCGGGAUGACCAGGGCGCCCACCGCCACAUCAGCCACCGCCAGCGACGCGAUGAAGCAGAAGGUGGCGUCCCGCAGCGCCUGGUUCAUCUUCACAGCCCAGAUCACGAGCACGUUCCCAGGCACCGAGACCAGGGCGAUGAGCACCUCGAUGCCAAUCCCCGGACGUUCCGUUCAGCAACUUAAAAUAGCAGCGCUCGCUCCACCGUGGCUCCGGAUCAGGUGUGAGGCGGCUCCCAGCACAGCACGCCCCACGGGGGUCCCGCGCGCCCGGCUCUGCCCACCCCGCGUCCACAGAACAGGAUGCUGGGAGCUCACCAUCCCGCCUGCUGGCCGGCGGGGGGUCCCGGAGGCGGUGCCCAAAGUUCCCGGAACGCGGUGCCGCCCAGAGUUCCGGGGCCGCGCCGGGCAGAGCUGGGCUCCGGGAACCGCCGGGCAGCUCAUCGUCCUCGGGCUCCCGCCGCAGCGCUCCCAGCCCGGCCUUUCAAGCAAUCACAUGGUGCGGCAGAGGCUCAGCCCCGGACGCUUUUAAAGAGCUCUGCAGGAAGGGGCCGUUCCGCUCGCUUCCCUCAACCCUCUCCGGCGUCCUCCCCGGGGAGCCCCGCGGCGCAGACUUACCCAAGGUCACACCAGAGCUGGCACCGCUCCUGGCCACCCGAGCCCCCACACCUCGACGCCCUCGCCAGCCGCUGCCCCCCGCCCCGAGAAGCCUGGAGGAUCCGGGGCUGGCCGACAGGUCCGGGGCUUGUCGCCCCAGGCGCGGGGGCGCAGUGACAGUCGGGCUCCGCACACCCGGCGGGGGGGGGGGGGCACCGCGGGGCCCCUCCCUCCUCGCCCUCCGUCUCCUCCCCCGCCCCCGCCCCUCCUCCAGACAAAGGAAGCGAUUCCGUGUGAAAAGGCCUGGGAAAACGUGAGCUUUUGAAGGUUCCGGUGUGUGAAUCCAGGCUCGAGACUGGACGAGGUGCAGCCUGCGGGUACCCGCUCCCUCCCCGCUCGGUGCGGCAGCCGGAGCCCUGGUGUGUGGUCCCCAGAGACCGACCCUGCGGGGCCUAACAUCACAGCGUCUCACCUGCCCGGCGGGGCUCCAGGUUGCCCACCCCACACCCACUGCGCCCGACCUCCCACAGCCUGCCCUAACCCUAAAACUAGCUCUCCCCGUGAAACUAGUCCCUGGCGUUCUCUGGAGCUCAAACCCUUCCAACACUGUUACUUUGCAGGCUCUGUCCUGAGUCAUUGCGUUUCUUCCUCAUCCAUCUUUUACAAUUGCCUUUGGGGCCAGAAGCAAUUUCCAUUCUGCAGAUGAGGACUCUGAGGCUCAUGGAAGUGACCUGGCCUCGGUGUCACCCCUUCUGGGGUCCUUUGCUCUCCUCCUCCCUCCUUACAGCGCAGCAGCUAAGCCACAAGGUGUCUGGUCCCCUCUGACAAAGAAGACCAAGAAGCAGAGACUUCCAAAGGGCGCAAGAGAAGUCUAAGGACCAGGGCAAGAAAGUCAGGCUGCUGACUGCUGGCGCAGUGCUGGCCCCACACUGCCCCAGGCCUCCCCUGACCACUUCGUGCAGUCCCUGGGUGCCAGUCCAUGGCACUGACAAUGCCCUCCCAGGCCAGACCCUUGCUCAGAAGGAUACCGUGCAGAGAUCCCAACCUGAGAAAUCCUCAAGUGUGGGUAUUAGGGGAGGACCCUGUGAGUCACCUGGAGACCCCAGGACCCCACUGCCCCCCUGUUGGAUCUCAGGAUGCCAAGCUGCUCCUGUUGGGAGAUUGAGCAGAAUCACGGAGGCAAAGGAUGGCUGGAACCAGAGCUGCUGGGAGGAGGGGGUCAAGGCUACGGAGUCUUCCAGGGAGGAAGAGGAGGAAGCCCAGGGCUGAGAAAGACAGCUUGCACUUCUGCCUUCCUGGGGAGCAAGGAAUCUGUGCCUCAGACAAACCUGUAGUCCUUCCCCAGAGGCUGGCUGAAGAGACUGGUGAAGAUGGGUUCCUGGUUAAGACUUCAUUUGAACAUAGAUUUUAUUGGUUAUGGAGCUUUAGCAAAAGCUUGGCACUUUGAGCUUCAACCAAACCCCUCCAGCUAAGAGAACUGAGACCCACAAAGGGAGGAAGGGAGGCCGGCAGCAGACUCAUCCCAGGGCGUGGGGACGCCAGGAUCGGAUGAAGAACCUGAGGCUGGGAGAGAUUCAAGGGGAGCCAUGUGACAGGGCUGAGACUGGAACCCAGGUCACCAGAGGCCUACCCCAGAUGUGACAUUGGGAAUGUUGAGCCAAUUGGUCUGCAAGGGCUUCGUGGAGGAGAGAUCUCCGGCAGCCCAUUUGGUCACUUUACACCUGGUACCGAAUGAGGACUUACCAUGAAGAUGGAAAAUGUAUUUAUACACAAUGGAAUACUAUACUGCCAUAAAAAAUAUAAACUUGAGGCAUUCACAGGUAAAUGGGUGUACCUUGAGAACAUAAUGUUAAGUAAACUAAGUCAGACUUACAAAGCUCAAAUAUUGCCUGGUUUCUCUUAUAUGAGAAACCAUAUAUAUAUAUAUAUACACACACACAUACAUACAUACAUACAUAAGGCAAAGUAGAAAAGAGAAAUAGGAAGUAGGGAGAAGUUCAAAUACUUCCCCAAAUUCCAAAUUCCAAAACAUUUCGAUAUAUGUGCUAAUUGGUUUCAUUUUUAUUACUAGCUUGUCUCAGUUCAGUGAAAAGAAAGUUUCGUGUUAUGUUUCUUUCUGUAAGAAUUUUUUUAUGUCUUGUACUCUGAGUAACCUACUUUGAAGAUAGCGAUACAAAGUAUAAUACCUAUUGUUUUUCUCUUA